CCUACGGGAGGCAGCAGUGAGGAAUAUUGGUCAAUGGCCGGAAGGCUGAACCAGCCAUGCCGCGUGAAGGUCAGUGCCCUAUGGGCGUUAAACUUCUUUUGUGCGGGAGCAAUAAUGGUCACGUGUGGCCAGACGAGAGUACCGGACGAAUAAGCAUCGGAUAACUCCGGGCAAGCAGCAGCGGUAAGACGGGGGAUGUAAGCGUUAUCCGGAGUUAUUGGUUUUAAAGGGGGCGUAGGCUGUGAGGUAAGGCAGGGGUGAAAUGCCCCCGCUCAAAGGGGUGAAGUGCCAUUGAAACUGCCUUGGUGGAGUGCGGAUGCCGUGGGAGGAAUGUGUGGUGUAGCGGUGAAAUGCAUAGAGAUCACACAGAACACCGAUUGCGAAGGCAUCUCACGAAUCCGCGAUUGACGCUGAUGCACGAAAGCGUGGGUAUCAAACAGGAUUAGAUACCCGGGUAGUC
rnacentral:rRNA from 1 species